AGUGAACGCUGGCGGUAGGCCUAACACAUGCAAGUCGAACGGCAGCACAGUAAGAGCUUGCUCUUACGGGUGGCGAGCGGCGGACGGGUGAGUAACACGUGGAUAACCUACCUAUAAGACUGGGAUAACUUCGGGAAACCGGAGCUAAUACCGGAUAAUAUUUUGAACCGCAUGGUUCAAAAGUGAAAGACGGUCUUGCUGUCACUUAUAGAUGGAUCCGCGCUGCAUUAGCUAGUUGGUAAGGUAACGGCUUACCAAGGCAACGAUGCAUAGCCGACCUGAGAGGGUGAUCGGCCACACUGGAACUGAGACACGGUCCAGACUCCUACGGGAGGCAGCAGUAGGGAAUCUUCCGCAAAGGGCGAAAGCCUGACGGAGCAACGCCGCGUGAGUGAUGAAGGUCUUCGGAUCGUAAAACUCUGUUAUUAGGGAAGAACAUAUGUGUAAGUAACUGUGCACAUCUUGACGGUACCUAAUCAGAAAGCCACGGCUAACUACGUG
rnacentral:rRNA from 1 species